rnacentral:lncRNA from 1 species
CUCUGGCGAAGGCUCUAGCGGCUAUGGUUAGGGUUCGGGUGUGGAUGAUAUUAUUUAUAACCUUUCGCUUUUAAUCUGAGCCGUCUAUCGCGAUUUAAUUUGGGCCGUCCGAUCGCGAUUAAAUUAGAAAUUAAUAUGGGUCAUUCAUCGCGAUACAAUCUGUGCCGUCCAUGCGCGAUUCAAUCUGAGCUGUAUGUACGCAU